rnacentral:tRNA from 2 species
GGAGGGGUGGCAGAGCGGCUGAAUGCACCGGUCUUGAAAACCGGCGAUGGGCAACCAUCCGUGGGUUCAAAUCCCACCUCCUCCGCCA